AUCAAUAUGACGAGGUUAUUAUAUCCGAAUAUGAUGUAGAACCCUAUUUCAUAUUGGCUUUCAAAGUUCUCUGAUUGCU